rnacentral:lncRNA from 1 species
UUUUUCAUUUGGUUUCUAAAAUUGUAGUCAGUGUAAUCCUUCCAAUUAUAAAUGAAAAGAGAUAUUUUGGUCAUAUAAAAAUUAUUGCAAUUGUUGAUAUAUAUAUAUAUAUAUAUUUACAAAUGAUAUAGUAAGUUCCUUGAAAAUAAAAAUAAAUAAUCAAGCAUUGCAUUUCAUGCAUCAGUUGCAUAAGCAGGUUUCCCACAUAAUCACACACAAAUUUGCAUGAAAAACGCAAUCUUAAGAUGCAUAACAUUCAGA